UAGCUUAACCGCAAGGAGGGCGCUUACCACGGUAGGAUUCGUGACUGGGGUGAAGUCGUAACAAGGUAGCCGUAUCGGAAGGUGCGGCUGGAUCACCUCCUUU
rnacentral:rRNA from 1 species